UACAGGGGGUGCAAACGUUGCUCGGAAUUAUUGGGCGUAAAGCGCGCGUAGGCGGCUACUUAAGUCGGAUGUGAAAGCCCUUGGCUCAACUGAGGAAGUGCACCCGAAACUGAGUGGCUUGAGUACUAAAGAGGGUCGCGGAAUUCAUGGUGUAGCAGUGAAAUGCGUAGAGAUCAUGAGGAAGACCAGUGGCGAAGGCGGGUCUCUGGACAGUUCCUGACACUGAGGCACGAAGGCCAGGGGAGCAAACGGG
rnacentral:rRNA from 1 species